ensembl:lncRNA
CGCAAAUUAAACCAACAAUAUCAGUAAUUCUUACCUCUCUUCAGUGGCAGACAUUAUGAGAAAAGAAUGAAAAAGGAAUUUCCUUACAACCAAAACAAUAGCUAUUCAAUAGACGUUCGGCAGAAUAAUUCACCAUCCGUGAAGCGCCAAGUAGUCCUAAAGACGGUCCUAUAUUUGUGUUGCAGUGCAGCGCAGACGGGUCUGGACUGCUCUCCGACUGGCCUGUGUGCACCGUAUAAAGACAAACUGGGAUCAUGACAGGAGUUCCCUGGUGAUCAAUCCUCCAAAUUUCCAGCAGAUGGUGCUACAACACCUAACAGAAAAACAAGUGUAGAAAUGCGGAAAUCAAAACGUAGUUACAAAAAAAAGUUUAGAAAUGCGGAAAUAAAAACGUAGUUAUAAAAAAAAGUUCCCCAAAAACGUCGAUACUGUGUUGAAGACGAGCAGCUGCUGAACCCAGCUAUCAAAAGCGUAUUCUCCGUAGUGUAAAUGUAACCGACUGAGUAGGCAUAGUUAUAUAGCUCCUGUCACCCAAUGGCAGGCCUUCAAUGUGUUAAGAUGGAUACAAUAUACAACCUUCUCCAGCAGCACAGACUGGACACCUACCACCACAAAUUCCUCACUUUGGGUGUCCAAGACGAGAGAGAUUUCACCGAUAGUGUAAAUGGUGAAGAUUUAGACAAAAUGGGUUUCAGUCAAGUAGAGAAGAAUCGCUUUGAAAAAAUGAAAGAUUUCAUCCAAAGACACAGAGCGCCACAGCAAGCGAUGCCUGUACAAAAACCAAUGGAGUCUUUCCAACUGUGGUACACAUACCCCCACUGUCCUGAGCUAAAAGAGAUCAGAGACAUGGAUCCUGCUACCAACACCGUUGAAGACCUGAUGCUAAGGAUCUGCCACCAAGAGGGCAUUGAGAACUCUAAAACUGUGUGCCUCUACACAGUUGAUGGAAUGCCUCUAACUGAUGAUCCUUUCUUCAACACAUGGUCUUUGAAAGACAGGCACAUUGAAAUUGGAAGUGAGCUCUAUGCCAUGUUUACACCCAAGGAGAACUUGAGACCAGCCCUGCUAGUGACACUACAAGAAAUGACUGACAUGACAGGAGAGGAUAAUGUUCGAUGCCACAUCAUGCUCAAGGGAGACUUUGAGGUCAAGGUGGACUUGGCAAGUGACACAUUACGAGAUCUGAGACAGAAGCUCUCUGAUGAAAGUGGAAUCCCAGCACAUGUCCUCCAUUAUAAAUGUGAACGAUGUGGAGUUGGACAGACUUUGCUAGAUUGUGGAAUCAAUGAGGAGUCAACUGUGGUCUUUUCUCUGUCCUCCUUCCCUGAUGAGCGUCCAGACACUAUGGAAUUCUACUUCAAUGAUGUCGUACCCUCAGUGCAACAAUCCCAGAAAGGACUCAGUGCUUUCUUUUCUUCACUUUAUGCCAUUAACAAUAGAGAACACCGUUCUGGAGAUGUAUUAAGCAAAGUGAUUGCAUACAUCCGAAAGCUCAGUGGGUGCAAUCCUUUGGCCCAAAGUCUGCAUCAGCUGUUGUAUAGAAAUGAGGUUGGAACAAGGACCCAGAAGGUUGCUAUCGUUGAAGGAUUGUACAAUCUCUUCAGAGAGCUGUUGCCAAGCUUCCACAAAAGAAGAGGUGACAAAAUCAUUGAAGACUCAGAUGUUUUUGAGAAUGCACCAGUGUGCUGGGCCUACCUGUUAUCUGAAGCAAAGAAAGAGAGUUCACAACAUGAGGUCUAUGUACCAAUAGUCUUGAACUCUCAACCUGGAGAACGUUUCUGCGACCCAGUUCGAGUACCUGGGUUACCAGAUGUCUUUGAGAGAGAGUAUGUUCUGCAGAAAAUCAAAGAUGGAGAGAAAAUCCCAAACUGCUCUGUGGAGAUCCUGACAGAUACUUCAAUGUCUAGAGCCUCUGAUGUUGAAAAGAUUUUGCUCAGUCUGCCUCCAUUCAUCAAAACAUUCCCUAAGUGGGCUUCAUCUGGACUUGUGACUGGCCAAAAUUUUCAGAUUGUUCUCGAUGACACAUUUGCCAAGAUGAACGAAGAAGUGAAAGAAUACGUUAAUCUGACAGUGACUCCAGCAUUACAGUUGAAGGAUGUUGGAGUAUAUGGGCCACGUCUCGUCUUCUUG